rnacentral:rRNA from 1 species
UGGGGAAUAUUGGACAAUGGGGGCAACCCUGAUCCAGCAAUUCUGUGUGCACGAUGAAGGUUUUCGGAUUGUAAAGUGCUUUCAGCAGGGAAGAAAAAAAUGACGGUACCUGCAGAAGAAGCGACGGCUAAAUACGUGCCAGCAGCCGCGGUAAUACGUAUGUCGCAAGCGUUAUCCGGAAUUAUUGGGCAUAAAGGGCAUCUAGGCGGCCAGAUAAGUCUGGGGUGAAAACUUGCGGCUCAACCGCAAGCCUGCCCUGGAAACUAUGCGGCUAGAGUACUGGAGAGGUGGACGGAACUGCACGAGUAGAGGUGAAAUUCGUAGAUAUGUGCAGGAAUGCCGAUGAUGAAGAUAGUUCACUGGACGGUAACUGACGCUGAAGUGCGAAAGCUAGGGGAGCAAACAGGAUUAGAUACCCUGGUAGUCCUAGCUGUAAACGAUGAUUACUGGGUGUGGGCAUGAAGAGUGUCCGUGCCGAAGCUAAUGCGAUAAGUAAUCCGCCUGGGGAGUACGGCCGCAAGGCUG